rnacentral:misc_RNA from 1 species
AACGCAAAUGGCGCUUUUGAUUUCUCAAAAGCAUGUCUGUCUGAGAGUCGAUAAAACACCUCUUUCUUUCAUCUUUAUGGUGAAUAGAAAGGAAAUGAGGGAGAAUCGCAAUACAUCUCGUUUUGUAUUGAGUCCCUUUAAAUGAAAGGAUAAAUGGAAAGACAUAAACUUCAUAUAUCAUCCAAACAUAUAUGAUAAUCCUCACCCAAAGUGAGACAACAUUAUUGAUGUUUCAUUAGUAAGUUUGGCCAUUUGAAAUAUGUGUGCGGCAAGUGUGUAUAUGUUGUGGUUUUUCAACAUUUCAACCACCACAUGUGAAAACACUUUCGCGAGUGUUUCCUCAUACCUUUUUAUCAUCUCAAACUCCGACCUCAGAUCAGACAAGACUACCCGCUGAAUUUAA